rnacentral:rRNA from 1 species
CGCACCAGGCGAGAAACCUUAGCAAUGCGGGAAACCGUGACUGGGCUAUCCCGAGUGCCAGCCGCUAAGGCUGGCUUUUACCCAGAGUAAGAUCCUGGGUGAAUAAGCGGGGGGCAAGACUGGUGUCAGCCGCCGCGGUAAUACCAGCUCCGCGAGUGGUCGGGACGAUUAUUGAGCCUAAAGCGCUCGUAGCCGGUCCGGCAAGUCCUGUGCCAAAUCCAACGGCUUAACCGUUGGGCCGCAUGGGAUACUGCUGGGCUAGGGAGCGGAAGAGGCCAGGGGUACUCCCGGGGUAGGGGCGAAAUCCUAUAAUCCCGGGAGGACGACCAGUGGCGAAGGCGCCUGGCUAGGACGCGUCCGACGGUGAGGGGCGAAAGCUGGGGGAGCGAACCGGAUUAGAUACCCGGGUAGUCCCAGCUGUAAACGAUGCGGAUUGGGUGCCGGUACGGCUUCGAGCCGUAUCGGUGCCUCAGGGAAGCCGUUAAAUCCGCCGCUUGGGGAGUACGGUCGCAAGACUGAAACUUAAAGGAAUUGGCGGGGGAGCACCACAAGGGGUGAAGCCUGCGGCUCAAUUGGAGUCAGCGCCGGGAACUUUACCGGGGGCGACAGCAGGAUGAAGGCCAAGCUGAUGACUUUGCCCGACGCGCUGAGAGGUGGCGCAUGGCCGUCGCCAGCUCGUGCCGUGAGGUGUCUGGUUAAGUCCAGGAACGAGCGAGACCCUCACCUCUAGUUGCUACCGCGUAAGCGGGCACACUAGAGGGACCGCCACCGCUAAGGUGGAGGAGGGAGGGGGCAACGGCAGGUCAGCAUGCCCCGAAUCCCCCGGGCCGCACGCGGGCUGCAAUGGUGGAGACAAUGGGUUCCAAACCCGAAAGGGGGAGGCAAGCCUUGAAACUCCACCGUAGUUGGGAUCGAGGGCUGCAACCCGCCCUCGUGAACCUGGAAUCCCCAGUAAUCGCGUGUCAUCAUCGCGCGGUGAACACGU